GUCGAACGCUGGCGGCGUGCUUAACACAUGCAAGUCGAACGUAAAGGCCCUGCUUUUGUGGGGUGCUUGAGUGGCGAACGGGUGAGUAACACGUGAGUAACCUGACCUUGACUUUGGGAUAACUUCAGGAAACUGGGUCUAACACCGGAUAGGAGCUACUGAUGCAUGGUGGGGGUUGGAAAGUUUCGGCGGUUGUGGAUGGAUUCGCGGCUUAUCAGCUUGUUGGUGGGGGAGUGGCUUACCAAGGCAUUGACGGGUAGCCGGCCUGAGAGGGUGACCGGCGACAUUGGUACUAAGGUACGGCCCAGACUCGUACGGGGGGCAGCAGUGGGGAAUAUUGCACAAUGGGCGGAAGCCUGAUGCAGCAACGCCGCGUGUGGGAUGACGGCCUGCGGGUUGGAAACCGCUUUCGCCUGUGACGAGGCGUGAGUGACGGUAAUGUGUAAAGAAGCACCGGCUAACUACGUG
rnacentral:rRNA from 1 species